rnacentral:rRNA from 1 species
AGGGCGCAUGGCGGAUGCCUUGGCUCUCGGAGGCGAUGAAGGACGUGAUAAGCUGCGAUAAGCUUCGGGCAGGUGCAAAUAACCUUUGAUCCGAAGAUUUCCGAAUGGGACAACCCGUCAUUCUGAAGGAAUGACAUCUUGCAUAGCAAGAGGCUAACGCAGGGAACUGAAACAUCUUAGUACCUGUAGGAAAAGAAAAUAAUAAUGAUUCCCCUAGUAGUGGCGAGCGAACGGGGAUUAGCCCAAACCAAUGUUGUUACGGCAAUAUUGGGGUUGUAGGACCACGAUGUCGCAAGAAAUUUAGUGAGAAGAAUUCUUUGGAAAAUGAAACCAUAGACGGUGAUAGUCCGGUAUUCGAAGCUAAAUGAAGCGUAGUGGUAUCCUGAGUAGCGCGGGACACGAGGAAUCUUGCGUGAAUCUGCCGGGACCAUCCGGUAAGGCUAAAUACUCCCGAGAGACCGAUAGCGAACCAGUACUGUGAAGGAAAGGUGAAAAGCACUUCGAAUAGAAGAGUGAAAUAGUCCCUGAAACCGUGCGCCUACAAGCGGUCGGAGCUGCUUCAGCAGUGACGGCGUGCCUUUUGCAUAAUGAACCUACGAGUUACUUUUUCCGGCAAGGUUAAGGAUCUUGAGAUCCGCAGCCGAAGCGAAAGCGAGUCUUAACAGGGCGAUUAGUCGGAAGGAGUAGACGCGAAACCAAGUGAUCUACCCUUGGUCAGGUUGAAGGUUAGGUAACACUAACUGGAGGACCGAACCGAUAAGCGUUGAAAAGCUUCCGGAUGAACUGAGGGUGGGGGUGAAAGGCUAAUCAAACUUGGAGAUAGCUCGUACUCCCCGAAAUGCAUUUAGGUGCAGCCUUGGGAAUUACUACUGUGAGGUAGAGCGACUGAUAAGAUGCGAGGGCUUCACCGCCUAUCAAGUCUUGAUAAACUCCGAAUGCGCAGUAGUUCGAUCCCAGGAGUGAGGGCAUGGGUGCUAAGGUCCAUGUCCUAAAGGAGAAGAAUCCAGACCAUCAGCUAAGGUCCCGAAAUAAUUGCUAAGUUGAACUAACGAAGUCAGAUUGCUAAGACAGCUAGGAUGUUGGCUUGGAAGCAGCCAUUCAUUUAAAGAGUGCGUAACAGCUCACUAGUCGAGGAGUUUGGCGUGGAUAAUAAUCGGGCAUCAAGCAAUUUACCGAAGCUAUGGGAUCAGUAAUGACUAAUCGGUAGGGGAGCAUUCCACUCUGCGUCGAAGGUGAAGCGUGAGCUUUGCUGGAGCGUGUGGAAAAGCAAAUGUAGGUAUAAGUAACGAUAAAGGGGGUGAGAACCCCCCUCGCCGAAAGACUAAGGUUUCCUGAUCAACGCUAAUCGGAUCAGGGUUAGUCGGGUCCUAAGGCUCAGCCGAACGGUGAGGCCGAUGGCAGAACAGGUUAAUAUUCCUGUACUACCUUAAGGAGUGACGUGGAGACGGAGGAGUGACAGCGCCGCGGACUGACGGAAUAGUCCGUUGAAGGGUGUAGAUGUUGAUUAUCCCAGGCAAAUCCGGGAUAAGAGUCGAACCUGAUAGUAUACCAAAUUCUUCGGAAUAAGGUAAUAGCGCGUGUAAGCAUACUCCCAAGAAAAUCCGCUAAACUUAAUCUUUAAGGUACCCGUACCGCAAACGGACACACGUAGUCGGGUUGAAUAUACUAAGGCGCUUGAGUGAUUCACGGUUAAGGAACUAGGCAAAUUGACCCUGUAACUUCGGGAUAAAGGGUCCCAACGAGAGUUGGGCGCAGAGAAUAGGUCCAGGCAACUGUUUAACAAAAACACAGGGCUGUGCCAAAUUGAAAGAUUACGUAUACAGCCUGACACCUGCCCGGUGCUGGAAGGUUAAGAGGAGAUGUCAUCGCAAGAGAAGCAUUGAAUUGAAGCCCCAGUAAACGGCGGCCGUAACUAUAACGGUCCUAAGGUAGCGAAAUUCCUUGUCGGGUAAGUUCCGACCUGCACGAAUGGUGUAAUGAUCUGGACACUGUCUCAACCGUGAGCUCAGUGAAAUUGUAGUAUCGGUGAAGAUGCCGAUUACCCGCGAUGGGACGAAAAGACCCCGUGAACCUUUACUAUAGCUUAACAUUGAAUUUGGGCAGACGAUGUGUAGGAUAGGCCGGAGGCUUUGAAGGGGGUAUGCCAGUAUCCUUUGAGGAGUCGCUGUUGAAAUACGGCCCUUUGAUUAUUUGAGUUCUAACUCGU